UCCCUUUCAGGAUCGCACCUGGAGAGUUUCCAGUACUCUUCCAGUCUCGGCUAUGGGAGGGAAAGUCAGGCAGAGUCUUACCCAUUCCUUUUCUAACCUGGCCAGUGGCUAACGAGUGGAAAGAAAUCUGCUACAAAU